rnacentral:rRNA from 1 species
GAAGUUUUGAUUACUGGCUCAGGAUCAACACUAGCUGCAAGCACAACCCCUGCCCAUCGAGCUGGACUACCUUUCUGUGUUCUAAUACAGACGCGCUUUUGCCUAGCUCGCAUGCCUGCGUACCUUUCUCCGGAGAUAGCGCGAUCCACAUUUGCAUUACCACCCCAUAUGAUUAUAGGGUGGGUGCAUUUGAUAAUUAAAACUGAAGUGGUGAAAUAGGGGCAUGCGUCCUAUUAGCUACUUGGAGUGGUAACGGCACCCCGAGGCUACUAUAAGUACGGGUCCUGAGAGGGAGAUCCCCCACACUGGUACUGACACAGGGACCAUACUCCUACGGGAGGCAGCAGUGAGGAAUAUUGGUCAAUGGUCGGAAGACUGAACCAGCCAUGCCGCGUGCAGGAAGAAUGCCUUAUGGGUUGUAAACUGCUUUUAUAUGGGAAGAAUAAGGCGUACGUGUACGUUGAUGACAGUACCAUAUGAAUAAACAUCGGCUAACUCCGUGCCAGCAGCCGCGGUAAUACGGAGGAUGCGAGCGUUAUUCGGAAUCAUUGGGUUUAAAGGGUCUGUAGGCGGGCUAUUAAGUCAGGGGUGAAAGGUUUCAGCUUAACUGAGAAAUUGCCUUUGAUACUGGUAGUCUUGAAUAUCUGUGAAGUUCUUGGAAUGUGUAGUGUAGCGGUGAAAUGCUUAGAUAUUACACAGAACACCGAUUGCGAAGGCAGGGGACUAACAGACAAUUGACGCUGAGAGACGAAAGCGUGGGGAGCGAACAGGAUUAGAUACCCUGGUAGUCCACGCUGUAAACGAUGGAUACUAGCUGUUUGGCGCAAGCUGAGUGGCUAAGCGAAAGUGAUAAGUAUCCCACCUGGGGAGUACGCACGCAAGUGUGAAACUCAAAGGAAUUGACGGGGGCCCGCACAAGCGGUGGAGCAUGUGGUUUAAUUCGAUGAUACGCGAGGAACCUUACCAAGGUUUAAAUGGAGACUGACAGGUGUAGAGAUACGCCCUUCUUCGGACAGUUUUCAAGGUGCUGCAUGGUUGUCGUCAGCUCGUGCCGUGAGGUGUCAGGUUAAGUCCUAUAACGAGCGCAACCCCUAUUGUUAGUUACCAGCACGUAAUGGUGGGGACUUUAGCAAGACUGCCGGUGUAAACCGUGAGGAAGGUGGGGAUGACGUCAAAUCAUCACGGCCCUUACAUACUGGGAUACACACGUGCUACAACGGUCGUUACAGAGAGCAGCCACUGCGAGAGCAGGAGAGAAUCUAUAACGCAGAUCACAGUUCGGAUCGGAGUAUGCAAAUCGACUCCCAGACGCUGGAAUAGCUACUAAUAGGAUAUCAGCCAUGAU